rnacentral:sRNA from 1 species
AUAUAAGCAAGCCGGAGCAAAUUGAGUU